AUGCCGAAGCUUCCUCAUUCCCCCCUCCUUCUCCCGAUUCCUUCUCAUUCCCCCACUGUCGACUCAUCCCUUCUUCUCCUCUUUAUCUUCCCCAACACAACGGCGCCGCCUCGCGACGCCUCAUCUCCCACGCGUACAAAAUUGUUGACCAAGGAAAGCCUCGAGCCCUCUCCUCUCCCGAUCUGUCACCUGUGUCGCAACACCGCCUUCUCCUCUUCUCACUGCAAUCUAGUGACGCCGAAGCACCGCUGCCCUUGCUGACGCUGCAAAUUGGCGCUAGCCGGCCAUCAACUACCCGAGCCUUGUCGCCUGUGCCCUAGCCACCCUCUGCCCUAGUUUGGAUCCGCCCCUCUUGCGAUCGAGCUAUGGACAGCCACCGAACCAGAGCCCUUCUACCCCUUUCUCGCUAUCGAUUCAUCGCCGGCAACUGAAUCCGUGCGCCUUCUCCACCUCUGGGCUCUCCCAUAGCGCAUUGAUGGGUGUGUCACCACCAAAUUCCGACUACAUUGACAUCAUUCAGCCAUCGUAGGAUAAGCAACCACCAUUUCCAGCGAUCAACCGAGUCGAUCACAACAGAUCUACUCCUUUGGGCACAUUUACCCCUCUAAUUAUGCUGUGUCAGUAGAUCAAGCAAGUGUCACAUUCUUGCCACUCCAUUAUCAGAGAGGGACUGGCUGCAUAGGGGUUCUCACGGGGAGAUUUGCGACUCCACCUUGCUCCAACCACCGGAUCCAGCAGCAACCUCCUCUAGCAGUGGGACUCCAUUGACAUAGCAUCACGACGUGGGAUUUAUCUGAUAUGAUCUUCUUUUGAGUUGGGUACCUUUGACUUAUAUAUUUUGAUAUUGUCAUUCUGAUAUGUGUAAUAGGUUAUAACUAGUAGUAAUGGUUAUGUUUAUAUUUGCUUGGUAUAUCACUACUUGAUACUUGUAGUAUGCCUAUAUUGUUAUCUGUUAUGCAUUUAUGUUUA